CUCUGUGUAUGUGGGCGUCGCUCCCAUGCUCUGCUCUUACCGCAGUUCAGCCACCACAGAGGAGAGCAGUUACCAUAGUGACUGGUUUUGGUGCUCAUCACACAGGUGGUUGCCUAACAGUAAGAGCCAGGAUUUAAAUGCUGGGACUGGGUGUAUCUUUUUGUGGAGUUUAUGCAGGUUUUCAUCAAUAUACAGGUCAGGUGGAGUGGAGAAUCUGAAGCAUUGCUGUCCGCGUUGCCUCCAUCAUAAAACCCCAUGACCCUGAUUAAGUACGGAGGAUCAGCAGCUUCAAUCCAUUUGAACAGCAACAGGCUGAGGUUAGAUUUGUGCCUCUCACUGACACUGGUAACACUGACACUUACAGAGCAAUAUUGCAUAGAUUCUCCAACUACUGUACAGAUCACAAGAAAAGAAAGGUAAAGCACGUGUUACAUCACUACUUUGAGAUUUCAAGGCAGCAUGAAGGGGCCGACAAAGUUACAAAGGGUCCAGUAAUUAUGUGGUGCCUCAGUUGCUGGUGCAUUAGACACAAAGACUGCAACAUUAUGUAAUGUAGCGGCAAAAAAGUCUCAGAACUCCUGAUGACACGUGGGAAACAGAAAAACGAACGAAGCGGUGUAAACCCUCAUCAGUGGUGACACUUCAUGGGAUAUUUUACACAUCCUGUAGAUAAUUAGGAGCUUCACCAAACUGUUUUACUGCAAACUCUCCUGAAUUACACUUUAUUAUGUCUAAAUAUGUCAUGUGAAUGUGUUUUAAUAAUUA